rnacentral:rRNA from 1 species
AUUGAACGCUGGCGGCAUGCCUUACACAUGCAAGUCGAACGGUAACAGGUCUUCGGAUGCUGACGAGUGGCGAACGGGUGAGUAAUGCAUCGGAACGUGCCCAGUAGUGGGGGAUAGCCCGGCGAAAGCCGGAUUAAUACCGCAUACGACCUGAGGGUGAAAGGGGGGGAUCGCAAGACCUGUCCAUAUUGGAACGGCCGAUGUCAGAUUGGCUAGUUGGUGGGGUAAAGGCCUACCAAGGCAACGAUCUGUAGUUGGUCUGAGAGGACGACCAGCCACACUGGGACUGAGACACGGCCCAGACUCCUACGGGAGGCAGCAGUGGGGAAUUUUGGACAAUGGGCGCAAGCCUGAUCCAGCAAUGCCGCGUGCAGGAAGAAGGCCUUCGGGUUGUAAACUGCUUUUGUCAGGGAAGAAAUCUUCUGGGUUAAUACCUCGGGAGGAUGACGGUACCUGAAGAAUAAGCACCGGCUAACUACGUGCCAGCCGCCGCCGUAAAAC